rnacentral:lncRNA from 1 species
GCUUAGAUCAUUAGUUGUCCUCAGUUGUUGGUUCUCCAUCAAAUGAAACUGUUGUUUCAACAUCUCAAGAGAAUCGAGCACUUGCUACUCGAAAACAUUGUGAGAUAUGGAUGGAGUGGCAUGGUACCAGUAGGUGGAGAAGGGGUUGAUGCAGAGCUAGGAUGCCGUGGCACUUCUUCCCCUGAAAAUUUAAUGGCAAUCUGUUUGGUGAUGGCUUAUUUGUUAGGGAUUUUGUCUUCAUUUGCUU